rnacentral:rRNA from 1 species
UACAGAGGUCCCAAGCGUUGUUCGGAUUCACUGGGCGUAAAGGGUGCGUAGGCGGUCGGGUAAGUCUGAUGUGAAAUCUCCAAGCUCAACUUGGAAAUGGCAUCGGAUACUAUUCGGCUCGAGGAAUGGAGGGGAGACUGGAAUACUUGGUGUAGCAGUGAAAUGCGCAGAUAUCAGGAGGAACACCGGUGGCGAAGGCGGGUCUCUGGGCCGAUACUGACGCUGAGGAGCGAAAGCGUGGGGAGCGAACAGG